rnacentral:rRNA from 1 species
ACGAACGCUGGCGGCGUGCCUAAUACAUGCAAGUUGAGCGAUGAAGAUUGGUGCUUGCACCAAUUUGAAGAGCAGCGAACGGGUGAGUAACGCGUGGGGAAUCUGCCUUUGAGCGGGGGACAACAUUUGGAAACGAAUGCUAAUACCGCAUAACAACUUUAAACAUAAGUUUUCAGUUUGAAAGAUGCAAUUGCAUCACUCAAAGAUGAUCCCGCGUUGUAUUAGCUAGUUGGUGAGGUAAAGGCUCACCAAGGCGAUGAUACAUAGCCGACCUGAGAGGGUGAUCGGCCACAUUGGGACUGAGACACGGCCCAAACUCCUACGGGAGGCAGCAGUAGGGAAUCUUCGGCAAUGGACGAAAGUCUGACCGAGCAACGCCGCGUGAGUGAAGAAGGUUUUCGGAUCGUAAAACUCUGUUGGUAGAGAAGAACGUUGGUGAGAGUGGAAAGCUCAUCAAGUGACGGUAACUACACAGAAAGGGACGGCUAACUACGUG